AAUAUUGCGCAAUGGGGGGAACCCUGACGCAGCAACGCCGCGUGAGUGAAGAAGGCCCUCGGGUCGUAGAACUCUGUCAUUGGGAAGAAAAAAAUGACUGUACCCAAUGAGGAGUCCCCGGCUAACUACGUGCCAGCAGCCGCGGUAAUACGUAGGGGGCAAGCGUUGUCCGGAAUUACUGGGCGUAAAGGGUGCCUAGGCGGCCGAGUAAGUCAGAUGUGAAGUACCACGGCUCAACUGUGGGGGUGCAUAUGAAACUGGUUGGCUUGAGUGCAGGAGAGGAAAGUGGAAUUCCUAGUGUAGCGGUGAAAUGCGUAGAGAUUAGGAGGAACACCAGUGGCGAAGGCGACUUUCUGGACUGUAACUGACGCUGAGGCACGAAAGCGUGGGGAGCAAAC
rnacentral:rRNA from 1 species